UCCUUUGGUCAGGACCUGUACCAGGCACCAGAAAUACAGAGAUCAUUAAGGCAAGGUCCUUUCCUCAAGGAGUCCAGUCAUCUCCCUCAGAAAUUUCCAUAGAAAAAAUAAUCUUAAUAUGACACAGUAUAUACCAGGAGUGAAAUAAACUGAGUACCUAGGACAAGGUUCUAUUACAUACUGGGAGAAUGAAUAUGAGACAUAGCUUCUGCGAGGAGCAUACACUAGAAAUCAGGUUUGAUAAAUCAUUAGGAAUUAACUAGACAAAGAUGAUGAAAACCAUCCCAGGUGGAACAUAUGCAGAGGAAUGAACUUGGAGAUGACUAUUACAAGUAGUUAACAGUGCUUGGUGGGAGGAAGUGGUAAGCCGUCAGUCUGGAGAUCCUACUAGGCCAGGUCAAAGAGUUCCCAAUGCCAUGCUGAGUUUGGGUCUUAUGCCAAAGGCCAUAGCGAUAAAAAGGAGUUUCGGGCGCCUGGGUGGCUCAGUCGUUAAGCGUCUGCCUUCGGCUCAGGUCAUGAUCCCAGGGUCCUGGGAUCGAGUCCCACAUCGGGCUCCCUGCUCUGCGGGGAGCCUGCUUCUUCCUCUCCUGCUCCCCCUGCUUGUGUUCCUGUUCUCGCUGUCUCUCUCUGUCAUAUAAAUAAAAUCUUUAAAAAAAAAAAAAGGAGUUUCAUAAAAGAGUAUGACUAAGAUUUGCAUCUUAUAAAGAUACCUGUAGGAGGUAGGAUGGCUUGAUGGAGCUUGAGAUGGGAAAAAGACCAGUUAAGAAUCUGUUGCAACCAUGACCAAGUGGGAUUUAUUUCAAGAAUGUAAGGGUGAUUUAACAUACAAAAAUAAAUCAAUGUAAUACACUACAUCAAUAGAGUAGAAAAAUGGGCAAAAAUCAUAUAAUCAUCUUGGUAGAUGUAGAAAAAAACAUUUGAGGAUAUUCAACACCUCUUCAUGAUAAAAAACACUUAACAAACUAGGAAGAGCGGAAACUUUAUUAGUCGAGUACAUGUGAAAAACCACAGUUAGUGUCAUACUUAAUGGUGAAAGAAGACAGAAUGCUUUCCCCCUAAGAUCAGAAACAAGGCAAGGAUGUCUACUUCUGCUACUUCUAUUCAACAUUGUACUGAAGGUUCAAUCCAGGUCAGUUAGGAAAGAAAACAAAAUGAGGAACAUCCAGAUUGGAAAGGAAAAAGUAAAACUAUCUCUAUUACCAGAUGACAUGAUCUGGUACAUAAAACAAAUCCUAAUCAAUCCACUAAAAAAUUAUUAGGACUAAUAAAAAAGCUCAGCAAAGUCAGGACAAAAUAUAAAAAAAAAAUCAAGAAUAUUUCUGUACAGUAACAAGGAGCUACCUGAAAAAGAAAUCUUUAAAAAGUUGACUUAAAAUAGCAUCAGAAAGAAUAAAAUACUUAGGAAUAAAUUAAACAAAAAAUGAGCAAAAUUUAUGCUCUGAAAACUACAAACUAAUUUCUGAAAGAAAUUAAAGAAGACCUAAAUAAAUCAAAAGGUAGCCCAUAUUCCAGGAUUGAAAGAAAUUAAAUUAUCAAGAUGGCAGUACUAUCCAAUUUGUUUUACAGUUUCAAUGCAAUCUCUAUCAAAAUUCUGGUUGACUUAUGUGCAAACAUUGACAAGCUGAUCCUAAAAUUCAUAUGAAAAUUCAAUGGGUCCAGAAGAGCUAAAACAAUUGUAAAAAAGAAGAACAAAGUCAGAGGAUUUAAACUGUCCAUUUUCAAAACUUACUACAAGGCUACAGAAAUCAAGACAAUGAGGUACUGCCAUAAGGAGAAACAUAUGACUCAAUGCAAUAACACUGAGAGUCUAGAAAUAAACCCUCACAUUUAUGAUUGACUUUCAACAAAAGUACCAAUACAAUUAAAUGGGGGCAGGGAGGGAAUAAUAGUAUUUUCCACAGAUGGUCUGGGAUAAUCAGAUAUCUACAUGCAAAAAAAGAAAAAAAAAGUUGAACCUCAUAUCAUAUACAAAAAUUAACUCAAAAUGUAUUAAAAACCUGAAUGUAAAUCUUCAUGAUUUUUGGAUUAAUGUUUUUUAAAUAUGAUACAAAAGCACAAGCGAUCAAAGGAAAAAUAGAUUAAAUGAACAGAAUUAAAUGCCUAAAUGAUUUUUGAGACAAGUACAGUUGGAGUUCCUCAAGGAGAGGAAAAUGAGAGUUAAAAAGUAUUAAGGGAGCGGCACCUGGGUGGUUUAGUGGGUUAAGCGUCUGACUUCUGCUCAGGUCAUGAUCCCAAGGUCCUGGGAUUGAGCCCCGCAUCAGGCUCCCUGCUCAGCGGGGAGCUUACUUCUCCCUCUCCCGUUCCCCCUGCUUCUGCUCUGUCUCUCUCUGUCAAAUAAAAUUUCUUAAAAAAGUAUUAAGGAAAUAACAUAUGAAAUAUUUUCAAAUUUGAUGAAAUAUAAACCUAUACAUUCAACAAGCUCAAUGAAUUUGGAACACAAAAUACAUGAAGAAACUGCACAAUGGCACAUCAUACUGAAGUUACUUAAAAUGGUAAUAACAGAAAAAUAUUUAAAAUAGACAUAGAUAAAAGGCAAAUCAUGUACAAUUACAAAGAUAAGAAUGUCAACAGACUUCUUGGAAACAACACAAGCAAAAGAGAAUAGAGCAACAGCUUUAAAAUAAUGAAAGAAAACAUUAUCACCUCAAAUUCUACACUCACUGAAAGUGUCUUUCUAAAACAAAAGUGAAAUGAACACUUUUUCAGACAUAUAUAGAUAAAAGAAUUCGUCACUAACAGACUGCUCUACAAGAAAUAGAAGAACUCCACCAGGCGGAAGGAGAUGAUAAAGGAUGGAAAUCUGGAUCUACCUAAACCGUGAAGGACACUGGAAAAGGUGAAGAUGACAAAAAGCAAAUCGGUGGUUGCUGAGGCUGGGAUGGGUCUCAGGAAGGAACUGGACAGUUAUUACAAUGGAAUUUGAGGAAAUUUAGAGGGUGAUAGAUAUGUUCCUUACCUUUAUUACAGAGUGUGGUUUCAUGGGAGAAUAAUUUGCCAACACUUAACAAAUUAUACACUUUCAUUAUGUGCAGUUUAUUGUACGUCAAUUAUCAUAAAAUAAAUCAGUUAAGUAAACAAAAAAUUUUGAGUUGCCAGUGAAAUAUCCAAGUAGACCAGAUCAAGAUUAGAACAGUAGAACAGUUUGCUUGUUGGACAGAAGAGCCUGCAACUCAGGGGAAGAACUAGAUUUACAGUUACUUGGGUUCAGAUAACCUUUGAAUUAAAUGAGAGCAUCAUGUUGAUAAGCCUGAGUUGUGGAUUCAGUCAGCCUGAACUUGAACACUGGCUUUGCUACUUACUACCCAUGCAACUUAAUUUUUUUUUAAAUUCUUCAUGCCUCACUGUAAAUGGGCAGAAUGAUAAUACCAAUAUCACAAAUUCAUUACCUUAAGUCCUCAAUAAAGGUUACAGAAAUAACAACAGAAAAGUCUUGGGAGUGAAUUAGAGCUCACACAGGAAGCAACGCAUUAGAGCAGUGUUUCAUGGCCCUUUUUUUCACUAUUGAUGCCCUAAGAAGCCUUUUUGAAGAAUUUUUCCUAAUCCUUGCCACCUCAUGAAAUUUUACCACAGUUAUACUAUGUAUCUAUUUUGCUAGUAUGAUCUUUGGAGGGCCACAUACCUUUGUAAUGACCAUGAUUUUUUUUUUUUCAUCCCCCAAGAAUCAGUGUUUACUCCUGUGGGGAUAAUAUUGUGACUUCCUACCCCAAGUUGAGAAUGAAUGGAUUCUUGGAAGACAGAAAUUGGAUUGUCAUAUUUAGGGUGAAGAGUCGAGGAUAAAUGGCAUAAGAGUGAGAAAAAUCAUGAUUAUUCAGCUUGGAGACCAGGAAACUGGCCAAAAAACUUUUUAUAUUAAAUUCUGUGAUAAAUGUGCAUUCUGCUGUCAUCGUCUAGUGGCAGUGAACUACAAAUGAUAUAUGGAUAUGAAAACACCUGCCACUUCUUAUGCGCAAAAUGUCUCCAUAAAGCUCUUUCUGCAGAAAUAUAGGCAGUGGAAUAUCUUACACUGAUACAGGACCUUCUAUUAGAAAAAGCUUGAAUUCUUAGCAAACUACAGGUGCAGAAAGAUCACAUGUAUCCACCUUUGAGUGGGCAGGACAAUAUCUGUUGCUUUGGGACAGAAGAGGAAGAAGUUGGGACCAGGAAGAGACCUAGGGGACAAUCUAACCACUUACUCCGCCUUCCCUAUGAGUUGUAAUCAAUUGCUAAAAAAGGCACAAGGAGCCAAACGUUGGUUAAGCAUCAGUUUAGUCAUCUAAAGUAUGAAAUUCACUGUUCAUCCUGUGUGGGAGGAUAAUGACUUAGUGUCUAAAAGGAAAUGAAGCCAUUAGCUUCCCCUUGAAUUAAAAAUCACCUGCACAAAUAAGAGACUUAACCUGCUGAAUUACCUGCUCAGCCAGAAGAGAAGAUGUUAGAACAGAGAUGGUGGAGACCUGGAUAAUAAGUGAAAAAAAGGUUGUUUCUGUUUUGUCUAGCACAGUUCUCAGAGUGGAUCCAAGGACCGCAGCAUCAACAUCACUUGGAAACCUGUUAGAAAGGCAAAUUCUUGGACCCUAUCCCCAAAGUACUGAAUCAAAAAUUCUGGGGAAGGGGCCCAAAAAUAUGUUUUAUGAAGUCUUCCAAAUGAUUCUGGUGCCCAUCAAAAUUUGAGUGACUGGUCUACAUAUAGAGAAUAGAAAAACAAGACCCAUGUGGUCCGUGGGACAGAAAGCCAAUCCUGCUUCCUGCAUCAGAAGGAAAAUUACCCACACCUGGGAUCUGGCCUGUGGAUAUCAGGUUCUCACCAAUCAGAUGAAUUCUCUUUGAUUAAUGGAGGACGAGUGGGAAGGAGCUCACUUCUUCAGAGGCCAAAGUAGAAAGAAAAGGAAGAAAUUGGCUAUUGUAUCUGAACUUAAGGAAUCUCUACACCCAAUGUGGGACUUGGACUUAGGGCCCGAAGAUCAAGAAUCUCAUGCUCUACCAACUGAGCCAGCCAGGCAUCCAAAGGAAAGCUAGCUGCCCUGUUGGAAGGACACUCCAGCAUCCCUAUGGAGAAGUCCACCUAGUCAGGAACUGAGGCCUUCCAGCAACAGCCAGCAAUGCUAGAAGGCAUGUGAAUGAGCCAAACUGGAGAUGGAUCCUCCAGUCCAAGUCAAGCCUUCAGAUGACCACAGCCCUAGCAGACAUCUCCCUGCAACUUUCUGAGAGAAUCUGAGGCAGGGCAUCCAACUAAAUGACUCCUGGAUUUUUGCCCCGAAGAAUCUUUGUGAAAUAAUACGUAUUUAUUGUGUUAAGCUGCUAAGUUUUGGAAUACUGGGUUAUGCAGCAAUAGAUAACUAAUACACUUAUCACUAAAAGGACACCCUUGCUAUGAUCUCUCCAUUACUUCACUGGCUUCAUCUCUUGCUAAUCUGCCCUUUUGCUCAACCCACUCCAGCCACAUCAACCUUUUCUUUAAAUCAGCAUGCUUCUGCCUAAGGCUGAUAGCCUUUGCCAAGAACUUCUUGCCCAUUUCAGGUUUUUGUUCAAAUAUGACCCUUUCAGUGCUCUAUGACCAUCAUCAAACUCCUUUCCCCCUUUUCUAUUUUGCUCCCCUCUACACCAUUUAUCAACAACACUUGACAUAUGGUAUAUUUUACUUUUUUGUUUUUCCUCUCCCUCCAUGAUAAUGUAAGCUCUAUGAGGGUGGAGAUAUUUGUCGUUUUGUUUGUUUGUUGUUGUUUACUGAUAUCUGCCUGGUACUUAGAACAGUGGCUGGCCAAUACUGAAUGGUUAAUAAACACUUAUUAAAUUAAUUAAUGUAAUCUUCUGGGAUUUUAUUGUUUAUUUACCUAUUUUCCCCUCAUUUGACUGUAAACUUCUUAAAACCAGGCACUAUAUCUUACUCAUCUUUAUAUUUCUGUCAUCUAUAUGGUAACAUAUGGAAUAACAGAUCCAUUUACUUAAGUAGAAAAAGCGGUUUGAGCUAUUUUUGGAACUUAUACCACAGGGAAUAUUUUUAGAAGUUAAAUAUGAGCUUAAAUAUGUAUGGAUUUAAAAAUACUUUGAGUCUGUGAUCUCAUGUAAUUAGCAAAGAUUACUUAAAAACAAAUAGCACAAAAAAUUGAACUUAAAAACAGCAAGAUGAAUUUAUCAUGUAGUUUUAAAACCAAUGGUGUUUAAACUCAAUAAUAUGUUAGACAUAAAAAUUAAUUUCAUUGUAUUUUAAUCCCCCUUGAGAAUUUGUUCUUCAUUUGAGCAGGUUGUAUCUACCAGUUUGCAAAUGAAACUGCUUUUGUAAAUUGGCAAACUAGAGUUCAUUAGAGAGUAGGCAUUUUUUAUUUUUUUUAAUUUCUAGGGCUUUUUUUGAAAGAUUUUAUUUAUUUAUUCAUGAGAGACAGAGAGAGAGAGAGAGAGAGAGGCAGAGGGAGAAGCAGGCUUCCCAAGGAGCAGGGAGCCCGAUGCGGUACUUGAUCCCAGGACCCCAGGAUCAUGACCUGAGCCGAAGGCAGACACUUAACCAUCUCAGUCACCCAGGUGCCCCCAAAUAGGCAUUUUUAAACAAAUAUUUUCAACUUUGAGAAAAUUUGUAAUUACAUAAUCAUUUUCCCUAUACUUAUAUUUUUGCAUUUAAAUAGCUUCAUAGAAAACAAGCUGAGUUAUCUAUGUUCAAUAUUUCUUAUAUGAUUUUCUAGUCAUUGCUAAUUAUAAAUUACAUGGGGAAAAGAAAUCAGUGCAAAAUGGGAUCUACCAAUCUGUCAUUUUCUAAAGACAACUUUUAAAAGAUAAAAACUCCAUUGUUUCAUAGAGAGACAUUGUAUCAGUGUUGAACAAGUCCUGGUAUAUUAAAAAGUUCAGUUGACUUAUCUAAAGUCAAAUAUGCAAUUACAGGCAGAAACACAGCCACAAUUCAGUGGUCUAAACUUCUGGUUAAUUAUUUUGCUCACUAUCCUAUUCUGCUUCCUAAAGUGUUUGAGAAGGUUGUAUAAUGGGUAUCUCUCCUCUGAGAGUUGAGGCUGCUAUUAUGUGAAACAAACCCAUUACUAAGGUAGUCAUGGGGGGAGGGAGAGAUGGAUAUGGGAGGAGGAAAAUUAUACAUAUACUUGAACUAAAGUCUGCAAUGUUAAAAUGCAAGAUUCAUAAGUUGCUAACUGUCCUUAAUAUUCAAAGACAACUUGAGGUAGAAGUAGGAGAUGGAGGUUGGUCAAUGGGGGAGGUUACCCUAUUUAGUCCCAGAGAUGAGAAGUGCUGUGGAAUGCCCAGGAAAUAUUGGGGAGGAUGGGGAGAAGUGUAUAGCACUAUUUAAAAUUUUGUAUUAUUAUUAUAUUAGAAAAAAAUAGAUGCAUUCCUCUUGAAAAUUCACAGGGAAUAAUGCAGGAACCACAAUAGUUUGGUUUUUACUAAGUUUAUUCACUCAGGCUUUUGGAAUCAGAUUUUGAGUACUUUCACUGUUGACUAUGAUGUUAGCUGUGGGUUUGUCAUAUAUGACCUUUAUUAUGUUGAGGUAUGUUCCUUCUAUAGCAAAUUUGUUGAGAGUUUUAUCAUAAAAGGAUGUGGAAUUUUGUCAAAUGCUUUUUCUAAAUCUAUUGAAAUGAUCAUGUGAUUGUUGUCUUUCAUUCUAUUAAUGUGAUGUAUCACAUUUAUUGAUUUGCGUUGAGUUGAGCCAUCCUUUUAUUUCAGAGAUAAAUCCCACCUGAUUGUGGGCCAGAACUGGUGGCAUACACACACUCAGCUGUGGGGGCCACCUGCAGGUGUCUAUGUAGUGAUAAAGGAAAUUUUCAACUUUUAAUGUUUGUAGGUCCUGCUCCUGGGCUCCCAGGGAAGCUAUCCUUUAACAUUUACCAAGGUCAAAAUGACUCGGCAAAACCUCAAAGCAUGGGCUCUAUUUCUGCCCCAAGCAUACAUUGUACAUCUGUUGCAUUAAAGAAAAUAACCAAAAAGGGGACUUUUGAACACAAAAGAUAAGAAAAAAUAAGAAACUUCCCUGGUUCCCAUAAGAUUAAAGUCAUACAGCCCUGCAUAUAGGAGUAACUGAAGAUAAGGUCUGCAAUGUUGUCUAAUAAUUUGUAACUUUUUAUGUAAAAAUUGUAUAUAACCCUUAACCAAAUGUUCCCUUACCAGAGCACUCUUUGUGAAGAUUGUGUAUCCCAGGCAGCUGUUUUUAAC